UUUUAAUUUUUUUUGGAAAUCGGUAGCUACUACGGAAUACCGAGGGAACGAGUGACUUCUAAAAUUUCAUUAGCCCUUCUUCCCCCACAUAUUUGCUUGGUUUUAUUUCCCCUCGUUCACCAAUAAGAAUAAUAAACUCUUUUAUUUUUUAAUUUUUCGAUAAUUGCUCCCACUUCGGUCUAGGAUUUAAAAUUACAGCAUAUGCCAUCUUCAAUUAUAUCAGUUGUUCCUCAUAUCUCCGUCGCCCUCCGCUCCUCUUUCUCAUAUCUUCGCCGCCCUUCGCCAUCUCUUUGUUUAUAAUCUGCCAUCUCCAUCACCAUUAUCGAUUCGGAUCCAUUACCACUCAACCUGGCGACCACGGCUCCGGAAUCGGCCACUGCAUCGCUGUUGCCCUAUUCCAACUGCCAUUCUCCACCAUCUUUGCCUCUACUGCCGCCUCCUUCCACUUGGUUUUAUCUACUUUCGUUAAAGAAGGUAAACCCUAAAUUUUAUGUAUCGAUUAGAAUUAAAUCCAGAUAUUACGGGUGUAGAAAAGCGUCGGGAAUAUUGAUUUUUGUUGCUCUUCACAUCAAAUGACGUUGCAGUUUAUGGGUAAAGAUAUAUGAAUUUCUAGUUUUCUGUUUUGCUAAAUUUACUGAUUUGGUAAUGGUUUAGCGUAUACAAAUCAUUAAUUUGAAUAUAAAUAUAUUAUCUUUUUUCAGUGAACUUACACUUAUACUUCAUAGUUAUACUUGGACGCUUCACGGAUUCUGGUGUGAUAUGCAAAGAAAUAAAUGGCUAAACUUGGAUAGAUUUGAAGCAUGCUAAUAUCUCAGUACUUAUCAACUUGAACUCAUUAGUGAUUGUAGUUGAUCUUUUAUGUGAUCACUACUUGAUUGCCUGAGUGAUUAUUAUUAUUGUUCAACAAUAUUUUAUUUAUACUUUUUUGCAUUUGUUUUUCAAAAUGUUUUUGGGCCAAGGAUAUCGUUGGUUAAAAAGGAGAGGUGGUAAUUUUAUGCUAUGUUUGAAUAUCCAAUGAUUUUUAAUACACAAUGGUGACUUAUUUUUUUUGUUUCUUUUCAUACAUUCUUAUCAGCCAAUGCUUCUAUCUAGGUAUUGCACAUAUCUCUGGACUUCAAUUAAUUAAUCUUCAUUUUGUCACUUUAUUCCUGGAAAUCAGUAUGUGAUUUUUUUGAAUCGCAAGGGUGUGGAUAGUAAGAUUUCUCGUGCUCAUUUUCAAACAUAUCAUAGCUUGUAAGUAUCACUUGCUCGCUUCUUGGAUAAUAAAAUUUAGAAAAUUUUAUGAUGUGAUUUUGUCUAGUUUUGAUCUUCUUCAUCAAAGUUAGUAUGAGAAGUUACUUGCAAGAAAUGCCUGGAAGCAAGUGUGGUGAUUAUUAGUAUCUUAAUUAAGUCGUAUGGGAAACCAAGCAUGACUGACAAAAUAGGUAAAGGAGUCAAGUAUGAAACUUCUAGGCUCAAAUGCUCGGUAAGUCAAAGGCAUGAAGAGAUGCAACGAAGACAAAUACAACUUGAAGAUCAAUUGACGUCUUUUAUGAGACUAUUCAGUAAUCGGAUAAUCCACCAAAUGACUUUUAGUUUAUAUCUUUUAAACACUUAAUAAUGUAUUUGAAACAUUGACUGCAUACACGAUGUUUAUUGUAAUGUUUAUUUUGAUGGAUUUUGAGCAUAACAAACAAUCUUA